GGGCUGGCUCUAGCUAAGCGGUUCCCUUGCAACUUUGAUUUGCUAAAGGCAUACAGUCCCGGAGGGCGCUCCCCAGCCUUUUA
ensembl:misc_RNA Vault Vault RNA